AGUUUGAUCCUUGGCCCAGGAUGAACGCUAGCUACAGGCUUAACACAUGCAAGUCGAGGGGAAACGAUAGAGAAAGCUUGCUUUUUCUAGGCGUCGACCGGCGCACGGGUGAGUGACGCGUAUCCAACCUGCCCACCACUUGGGGAUAACCUUGCGAAAGUAAGACUAAUACCCAAUGAUAUCUCAAGAAGACAUCUGAAUGAGAUUAAAGAUUUAUCGGUGAUGGAUGGGGAUGCGUCUGAUUAGCUUGUUGGCGGGGUAACGGCCCACCAAGGCGACGAUCAGUAGGGGUUCUGAGAGGAAGGUCCCCCACAUUGGAACUGAGACACGGUCCAAACUCCUACGGGAGGCAGCAGUGAGGAAUAUUGGUCAAUGGGCGAGAGCCUGAACCAGCCAAGUAGCGUGCAGGAUGACGGCCCUAUGGGUUGUAAACUGCUUUUAUAAGGGGAUAAAGUGAGUCUCGUGAGACUUUUUGCAUGUACCUUAUGAAUAAGGACCGGCUAAUUCCGUGCCAGCAGCCGCGGUAAUACGGAAGGUCCGGGCGUUAUCCGGAUUUAUUGGGUUUAAAGGGAGCGUAGGCCGGAGAUUAAGCGUGUUGUGAAAUGUAGAUGCUCAACAUCUGCACUGCAGCGCGAACUGGUUUCCUUGAGUACGCACAAAGUGGGCGGAAUUCGUGGUGUAGCGGUGAAAUGCUUAGAUAUCACGAAGAACUCCGAUUGCGAAGGCAGCUCACUGGAGCGCAACUGACGCUGAAGCUCGAAAGUGCGGGUAUCGAACAGGAUUAGAUACCCUUGGUAGUCCGCACGGUAAACGAUGGAUGCCCGCUGYUGGUCUGAAUAGGUCAGCGGCCAAGCGAAAGCAUUAAGCAUCCCACCUGGGGAGAACGCCGGCAACGGUGAAACUCAAAUGAAUUGACGGAAGGGCUUUAAG
rnacentral:rRNA from 1 species